rnacentral:rRNA from 14 species
GUCUAUGGUCAUACCGGCCUGAACAUGCCUUAGCUCUGAACUUAACAACUAAGCAGGGUCAGGCCUACCUAGUUCUUGGAUAGGAGAUCCACAUCAAACAGAUGGGCCACAAUGAUG